rnacentral:rRNA from 1 species
CAAUAGCGUAUAUUAAAGUUGUUGCAGUUAAAAAGCUCGUAGUUGGAUUUCUGGUGGGAGCGAUCGGUCUGGCGCUUAGCGCGAGUACUUGCAUCGUCUCCGGCCAUCCUUGGGGAGAGUCUGUCUGGCAUUAGGUUGUCGGGCAGAGGAUCCUCAUCGUUUACUGUGAAAAAAUUAGAGUGUUCAAAGCAGGCUUAUGCCGUUGAAUAUUUUAGCAUGGAAUAAUAAGAUAGGACUUUGGUACUAUUUUGUUGGUUUGCGCACCAAAGUAAUGAUUAAUAGGGACAGUUGGGGGUAUUCGUAUUCCGUUGUCAGAGGUGAAAUUCUUGGAUUUACGGAAGACGAACUACUGCGAAAGCAUUUACCAAGGAUGUUUUCAUUAA